AAUCAGAGAGAGAGAGAGAGAGAGAAAGAGAGAUCCUUGGAGAUGGUUGGAGGCACGCGUUCCCAUGCAUCGAAAUCGCCGGAUUUUGCAAUUUCGCGUUUAAUAUUAAUGUAUUCGGAGGCGCGUACGAGGCGACGACAAAUUACCGAGCCUCGUCACUGUCCCUUUUAACGCUUUGCUGCUUAAACGCGGCCCCAGCCUCCUUUUAUUAUGAUGUAUCGCGUUCUGCAUAUUAACACGGCCGACUA